rnacentral:tRNA from 1 species
GGAGGACUACCCUAGAUGGAUGGGGGGUUAUAUUAUUAUGACAGUCGUUGAACGAUUGAGUGGGUUCAAGCCCCACCUCCUCCU